CCCUUAGAUGUUCUGGGCCGCACGCGCGCUACACUGAUGCAUUCAACGAGUCUAAAACCUGCUCUGAUAGGGGUGGGUAAUCUUUUGAAUGUGCAUCGUGAUUGGGAUAGAUGAUUGCAAUUUUUCAUCUUCAACGAGGAAUGCCUAGUAAACGCAAGUCAUCAGCUUGCAUUGAUUACGUCCCUGCCCUUUGUACACACCGCCCGUCGCUCCUACCGGUUGAAUGAUCCGAUGAAUAUCAUGGAUUGAGGAUGCAAGUAGGUUCGCCUAUCUUCAUCUUCGAGAAGUGAAGUAAAUCUUAUCAUUUAGAGGAAGGAGAAGUCGUAACA
rnacentral:rRNA from 1 species